GCUCUUAUCCUCAGUCCUUCACCCAAGCCACAGCCCUGUGCUGCUGUGGCGCUGGUGACUGAGACAGGGAGACCCAGUGUGAGCUGGUCAGCUGCAGUGCCCACUCUUAUCCUGGCCCUGUGGCCACCUCAGGGGGGGACCGCCCCCCACCUCCCUCCUGUCUCUGCAGGGAGCCUGCCCGCUGGAGAGCACAGCUUCCCCUUCCAGUUCCUGCUUCCUGCCACCGCACCCACGUCCUUUGAGGGUCCUUUCGGGAAGAUCGUGCACCAGGUGAGGGCCGCCAUCCACACGCCACGGUUUUCCAAGGAUCACAAGUGCAGCCUCGUGUUCUAUAUCUUGAGCCCCUUGAACCUGAACAGCAUCCCAGACAUUGAGG
rnacentral:sRNA from 1 species